UGCCUUGACACACCGGAUUGUCCUCGAGG
rnacentral:piRNA from 1 species